rnacentral:rRNA from 1 species
GAUGAACGCUAGCUACAGGCUUAACACAUGCAAGUCGAGGGGAAACGAUAGAGAAAGCUUGCUUUUUCUAGGCGUCGACCGGCGCACGGGUGAGUAACGCGUAUCCAACCUGCCCAUCACUUGGGGAUAACCUUGCGAAAGUAAGACUAAUACCCAAUGAUAUCUCUAGAAGACAUCUGAAAGGGAUUAAAGAUUUAUCGGUGAUGGAUGGGGAUGCGUCUGAUUAGCUUGUUGGCGGGGUAACGGCCCACCAAGACGACGAUCAGUAGGGGGACUGAGAGGAAGGUCCCCCACAAGGGAACUGAGACACGGUCCAAACUCCGACGGGAUGCAGCAGUGAGGAAUAUUUGUCAAUGGGCAAGAGCUUGAACCAGCCAAGUAGCGUGCAGGAUGACGGCCCUAUGGGUUGUAAACUGCUUUUAUAAGGGAAUAAAGUGAGUCUCGUGAGACUUUUUGCAUGUACCUUAUGAAUAAGGACCGGCUAAUUCCGUGCCAGCCGCCGCAGUAA